rnacentral:rRNA from 1 species
AGAGUUUGAUCCUGGCUCAGGACGAACGCUGGCGGCGUGCUUAACACAUGCAAGUCGAACGGGAGUACUUUGAAAGCUUGCUGAUAAGUACUUUAGUGGCGGACGGGUGAGUAACGCGUGAGGAGCUGUCUUAUGCAGGGGGACAACAGUUGGAAACGGCUGCUAAUACCCCAUAAGCCGAGAGGUAAAAGGAGCAAUCCGGCAGAGGAGGUACUCGCGUCCUAUCAGCUAGUAGGUUGGGUAACGGCCGACCUAGGCGAAGACGGGUAGCCGGCCUGAGAGGGCGAACGGCCACACUGGAACUGAGAUACGGUCCAGACUCCUACGGGAGGCAGCAGUGGGGAAUAUUGGGCAAUGGGGGCAACCCUGACCCAGCGACGCCGCGUGGGUGAAGAAAUCCUUCGGGAUGUAAAGCCCUGUUGUACGGGAAGAGCAGAAGACGGUACCAUACGAGGAAGCCCCGGCAAACUACGUGCCAGCAGCCGCGGUAAUA